UUUGUUUUUUUGUUUUUUUUCCAUCAGAUUAGCAAAAAAAGUUUUGGUGUGCCCAAGAAUUUUAGUGAUUGCUUUAGACGCAAUUAUGUGAAAAUAGUUGAAAAUCACUUUGCUAGAUCAAUGGGGGUAUGGUGCCUUGACACAGUAAAUGUUUCACAAAUAUGGCAGUGUUAGUGAUAUUUCAAUGUUAGACUACAAGGUAAUACUUUACAGUAAGAUACAGUGGAAUACCUGUGGUUACAAGCAAGGCCUACGCGAUUUCCAACUGUUCAUAGACGGGGGCCAAACUGUUCCGUGUCUGCCAAGACUAGGACUUCUCUUAGUGACAGUGCAUUUGUAGGGGACACAAUUUAGCCUUUGUAGGUCAAAAAGGGGAAACCAAAAGUACUGUUAGAGAUGACUGGGUGAGGAGACUUUUCUUGCUUAGCAAGACCAUGAAAGCCUAGCAGAAGGAGCAGUAUUUGACACCAGAUUCCAAGGACAAUCAUUGUAGAAGCAAGUGUGGGUGAAUGGCCUCAGCGAGUCCGGCCCUGCCAACAGCGUCUAGGAAAUCUGUGUAGGGAUAUCUGGGGGUGGGCUUCAAUUAACUUUUCAAGUUGUAGAUGAUGAAACCUAGAGUGACAUUUUUCUUGCACUAAAAGGACAUAGGUGUUCCCACGUGGCCCCAGCGUCCUGGUGGCAGGGAUGUAGCCCAGAAGAACCUGUUCCCAUGGCUCCUCUUUCAUUCAGAAGCAUCUUUGUAGCUCUGGAAUCCACUUGGAUAGUAAUUUCUUGACCAUUAGGAGACUUCAGGAAAGUAACUUAUGCUCUUCUCACUUGAUGGUGACAUUGAUUAUAUUACCAUAGUGCUUUGGUUCCUUAAACCUCAGAUGUGAGAACUUGGCUUAGACCCCCUUCAGAGUCCUGAAGCGCAGAUCCAUAGACCUCUUGGCCUUCCCUGCAUCUCUCAUCUGCCUUAAUUUCAUUUGGUCAUUUGCAUUGAUCCUUCCAUAUUGAUUUUUUUUUUUAUUUUUACACUUUGGAAUAUUUUGGUGGUGGUUUUCAUAGUAACCUAGGCUGUAAAGUUGGAUCAUAGUGAGGGAGUGGAAAAUAGGAACUUGUUACAUCAUCAUGAUUAACAUCCGUCUGUAGUGACAAUGGACAUUUCAGUUUUCAAUUCAUGGACAGUUCGCUUAGGGAAGUGGAUUCUGAGGUAUAUUUUCUUGUAAGAUAGCAAAGCUCUAUCUCAGUGUUACUCUGGCAGGGGGUUCGAUGUUUCACUGUCUUUGAUUUUACCCCCAAGAUUUCCACCUUAAUUCUGUGUCAGUUCCGUGAUAUAGCUGCCAAAGAUGAUCAGUCGGAUCAAUCAUUCUAAGCCAAGGGCCUUUCCUUUAGUAGAAAUGUACAGUCUGCAGGCAUUAGUCACUUAGCAAAGGUGCACUUGUUGUUGGUAAGACCUGGGCUUGACUUAUGAUGAGCUAUGUUUCCUGAGCACAAUGACGUGAAGGUCAACUGAAUACUCUGAAGUCCAGCCAAAGUGUCAGUCCAAGCACGUGGGCCGCACAUUUUUCAACAUCCGUUUGUAGGCUGUACAUUUCACAAGGUUGCCUCAUCAAUAUUGUGCAGGUCAGGGAGAAUGGAGCUGCAGGUCACCCAGUGAAGUGGAGGGUUGAGUUUGUCAUUGUGCGUUUCAUGUAAUACCUUCAAGAGAGUCAGGACUUGGGAGCUACCAUGGCUUUUUCUUUCAUUAGAGCAUCACUCAAUUUCAGCUUUGGACCAGAGUUCACUGAGACCACAUCCCCAACCUAUGAGGCAGCUCCAGUUAACACUCAAGCAGGAAAUUGCCAGUUUGAGACAUUGCUUUGGUCUAAGAUGAGAUGACAUUUUUUUAAACUUACAUUCAGAGGGAGCACUCUUUCUAAGUUUUACCACCUUCUGUAUGUUGGCAAGACAUAGAUGAGAUUCAGAAUGUUUGGCUGUGAUGCAAGGGGGUAAACUGGCAUUUUGCAGUUGAUGGGUCUGAGUGUUUGGAGAGAGGACUGGUUCUGCCAACCAUGCAUUUUGUUAAAAGGGGUCUAAGCUCACUCAUUUAGUAUCUCUUCACCUGUAGGAAUAAUGAAUCUUUUAUCAUCUGUGACUACCAUCCUAUGAUUAGGUUCUUGUGCUUUGCUAUAGUAGUCUUGUGAGGGGAUUGAAUAGUAAUUAAACAGGUAUUUAGAAAAAACCUGUAUAAAAAGUUAACCAUGGACAGUUGAAUGUAUUAAGACCUUAUCCUUAAAUAGUCACCUUAAUUUGUUGAUGUGUGUGUGUGUCUGUAAAUAUGGUGUGGAUGUUGAUACUGUGGCGAGUGAACAGCUUAUAGCAAAAAGCUGUUGGGGUUCCGCUGAAUUACAUUCUUUGUAAAGUUAGACAAGUAUUUUCACAUUUCUUGACCUUAUUUAGUCCCUGUUUUCCUGCCAGAAUUUUUUUUUAUUUUUAUAUUUACUACCUCAGAGACUUGUUUGGUUUCUCUUAAUCAAUUGAGAGAAGUUCGCUGCCCUUUGUACUAACUGAAUUGCAUUAGGAACAUCCAGUAGAGUGAGAGGGAAGGAGUGAGUGGGGUGAUUUGACCUUGGACAUUGGUGAGGCAAGAGCGGUCACUUACUGCUAGAGAAAGGACACUGGUAGUUUCUGGCUGAGCAGCACCAUCCAUAUUAGCCCAUUCUUGGGGGAGGUGACCUACAGAAAAUAACCUGCACGUAGAAUCCCUUGAAAAGAUGAUCAGGUGCUUGUUUCUUGGGUGGGGAGGGUUGAUUGAUGAAACUCACUGUUCUUGAACCUGAUGACAGCUUUCCUUCCUGCAAAGGGAGUCUGAGAUCCAACACAACUCCUUUUAUGAAUCAGUUUGAAAACAGUGGGAAUGGGGGGAAUGACUGAGAUGGUGAGUGCAAUGGUGGGGGACACAGGACAAGAGGGAAAAGGGAGGUUUAGAGGGAUUUUAUCAGAACAGCUGGGGGGGUUAGGAUUUAGACAUACCAUCUACCUGUCACUGUAUGUGUAACCAUAGGGCCUUUGUCUCAGCCAGCUUGGACAUGCUAGGCUCUGUCCUUUCCUGAGGCCUCUACAUAGGUAGUGCAUCUUUGAAACGAAGAUGAGUGGAUGGGUGACUGUUCUUGCUGGGUGAUGAGAGUGGGCAAAGUGGUUUACAUUCAUAGGCAGCUGAGAUGAAACCAAACUUGUCUCCAACUUUAGUGCACAUGAGAAUCAGCCUGCGGGCUUGUACACUUUGUCAGUUUCUGAUUCAGUACCUCUGGGUCUGAGAAGUUGACAGAUGCUUUGGUUUAGGCACCACACAUAGAGAACAACUGGGUUUGAUUCAGGAUAAUGAAUUACGUUAUAGAAUAUAUUAAAGUGAACGUGACCAGGGAGUUUUGUGAAUGCCAAAUGCCAAAUUUUUUUUCUUGUAAUAUAACCAAAAGAAUCAGUUGGGUAGGGUGCCAGAUGCUGAAAAUGUGAGAAUAUGAAUCCAUAUACCUUAUCAGAACUAAUUGGCAAUAUAUUUAAAUGAUGUAUACCUCAUUUGGGGAAGCCAGUAUAUUUUUUUAAAAUUCUUCUAAUAAUCAACUAUUGCCUAAAUUUUCACUUAGUUCAAUUUGGAUAAAACUGACCAGUAAGUUGAAAUUUCCAGGAAACAUGUUUCUAAACCACUUUUAAAGAGUAGAUGUGAUCUCAGUAGUGUGUUGAUUUCCUAGACCCAGUUUGUACUCUAUGUUGGUCACUGAACCGUGCACAACUUUAGUUACUUUGCAUUUAGGCAUGUUUGUUGUAUUGUAAGCAUCCACUUCUGGAUCAUUUAAAAUGGGCCAUAAACUGACAAUACCAAUGAAUUUGUGGGUUAUGCUAUUUUCUGGGGAAAUUUCAAUAUAUAUGUUAUAGCUUGGCUGUAAAUACCCUGGUGGCAAUAUAUCUGGUAUUGAAAUGGAGUGCUAGUUUGUAAAUAGGCUUCUAUAUGGGAAUAGUGUUACAAUGGACUGUCCAGUGUUACCGGCCAACUUUGACAUUCAGCCGCGCCAGUUGGGCUCCGUAUUCGGGAGUGCUGAGGAGUAUAGAGGGCAAGUUAGAGGCACUACAGCAACUGAAGAAGGAACCCAGACUUGAAAAACAAAGAGACCUCGUUCUAUGGCUUCGACCGAAUAAAAAAUGAGAAAUCAUGGACUUUUUAAGAUACUGUGACUUACGAAGGAACUCCAGUUUGAAACAAGGAGAUCUCUUUUCUAUGGUUGGACUCAAUAAAAUGAGACAUCAUGGAGGAGGUUUUAAAAAUUCUGACUAAUGAAGGGACUCCAACUUGAAACAAGGAGCCUUCUAUGGUUGGACUGUCAUUGAAUUCAUGGAGGAGUUAAGUUGUGACUUACGAAGGAACACAACCUUGAAACAGGAGACCUCUUUUCUGUGUUUUGGACAAAUCACACAGGAUUUUAAAAAACUGAUUUAUGAUUGCUAUAAGAAUGAGUUACUGCAGUGAUACUGAUUUUCUUAUUUUUGUAGGAUGGCAGAAAAAUUCGGUCAUUAUAUUUUUCUAAUUGCAUAAUGUGUAACUCUCUAGUGAGCAUGACUGGAUGCCAUGGCUUUGAAUUUUAGAUAGACUAAGUGAAUUACGGUCCUAAAAUACAAGAAGGCAUAGAUUUACUUUUCUAAUGUUGGGUCAUACUAUCUUAAAUUCAACUUGCCAUUCCAUCAGGCAGAGUGAAUCUUCCACGGGAGUACCAUAUUUCAAUUUGGGGCUUUGGUGGAAAGGGAAAAGGGGGUUGCUUAAAGUAACCUCUCAUUGUAUGCAUACAACUGUUCCAGUCUAGCUCACUAAAGAAUAAAUCUUCCAUGUUAAAACAACAAGCAUGUGUUCCUUUGGAGAAUCUCUUGUGCACAUCUCUUAGAGGCCAAGAGUUCAUUAUUAUUGAGAGUAUACGACUGUUUACUUAUUAGUGGGUAACCGAAUACUUGGCCACAUAAAAAUAUGUAAAUACACCUAUCAUUAUUUAGGUUGGUUUUUGUAGUGUACAUAAACAUACAAACUUUCUGUAAAAAAAGAGACUUGGAAAAGUUUUUUAAAUGACAAAAACAUACUCAGAUCACUAAAAGAAGAUACUGGCAAUGGAACGUGAAAUAUCUCAAUGUCAUCUAUAAACAUCACUUCGAAAUCAUUGCAUGAUAUCUUUGAAUUUUACGGAAAUGUUAAAAGGUGAUGCCGACUGGGAGGAAGAGAAUCGGCUGCCAUUGAUGGACAUGGAUGGAGUCGAACAAUGGACGAGGGUUUCUUGCCAAAAGUUAAAACGUGUAUAGCCUGGAGGAUACAAUUCCGACUCCAUUAGAUGCUGCUUUACAGCUACCUUGCAGGUUGGCAGGUUGACAUCUUUUAACUGCUAAAACUUCAAACCGUCGCCUUACUUCUGUCUUCAGAUUCUCUAAUUCAUCUCUCUGCCGGACAAGUCUUCACAAAUGAAGAACCACAUCAUGUUCCAACAGUGUUAGAAAUAAGCAAUAAUCAGAAGAGGGGAAAGAUUUUAUAAACUCAUAUUAAGAGCAUCUUUGCCACUCUCAAAACUGGAAAUUUUCCAUUUGUAGUCUCCGAAGAUUUGGAUCCUUAAAAAUCUUGGAUGUUCCCCCAGUCAUUUCACCCUCUGGUCCUGUAAGAAUCUCUAGAAAUCUACAGCACGAAACAAUGUGAUUGCCACCCAGGAUGAGGCACAGGCUUUCUGAAAACCUCUUCUAUCAACAACAGAUGAGCAGGGAAUCACAGCUCGAGUGACUGCCCUGCAUUGAUGAAAAUGUAGUUUUCAAGUUCUGGAGAAUCCUGAACAGUUUAUUAUGGACUGCUGUGGGCAUCUAAACCUCAUGCUGAAAGGACAGCGCAUUUGAAUUGAUCAAGAAGCUUUACCAGCUAUAAUCAAAGACAAAAGAAAUACAGAUUUAUACUGUUUCGACCAUCAUCCUACCUUUCAAAUGUUUCCCUUUGGAAUCCAUUGCAUUUGGAAAAGAAGGUUCUUUCGUGAUGGAAGAUCAACUCACCUCCAGAAGGUUUACCGUUGAAAGCUGUGUGUCUAAGACAUUUGCAUAUAUGCGAGAUACACAGAGAUCUUCCUUUCUUUUCCUCCCAGUAGCAUUUUCACCUAAAAUCUAACCCUGGUAACUACUUAAUUGGACACAUAAAACUGAACAAUUUACGGACAUUGUGUGUGGACAAUGGUAUUAAAAUGUAAAUAUAAAAAUACUCAGUGACUGAUGAAUGUGUAUGAACUAUUCAUUGAUAGGCGAUGAAGAGAAUGAAAUUCAACAUGUAAUGUUUUCAUUUUCUUGUUUCUUUGUUUACGUAAACUUUCUUGGAAUAUAAAUACAAGCACAGAGGCCUACAUUUGUAAACAAAUCUAUUAUUUUUAGAUACUUUUGUAAUGGUUGCUGUGAUAAUAGAGCUGGUUUCCUAAGGAAGUUUCUAAUAACACAUUUGGUAAAAUUGUCUUCCGGAGAAUAUUUUAGAAGAAUCCUGAGGACGUUUUGUAAAGCUAUACACAAUUCUGUACUCAUUGUUUGUGUGCUCAGGGAUAGCAGAAAAGGAAAGUAGCAAGGCAGUGAAUAUCAGUGUGUAUUAAAAAACCAAAUAUCAUUGCUUUGCUACAUUUCCUAAUGUAUUGUAAUUGUUAAGUAUUAUAGAAUAUUUUAAUACAUAAUUAUGAAAAUAGAACUGUCAGAAUACCUCUGAAAGAUGUACAUUUAAAACCAUUUGAAUGGGUUAUUGCUGUGGGGUUUGGGGGAAGAGGGAUUGUUGUGUGUACAGCUGUUACGUAGACAUGAAGGCUGCUCUCUGGAUGUAAAUGGUCUUUACGAUAAGAUGUAUAUAUUGCUCUAUGCUUGAUAACAAGUGUGCAGAAUUCAGUAGGCUUUGUUUGUUAAUGCUCUUCAAUAGAAAAGGGACUGUUACACCAUCUUACCAAGCAUAGGGAUGGGUUCACUCCAUGCUUAGAUGUUGGGAGUCUGCAUAUAUUCUGUAAAUGUUUCCUUCUGCCAGUAGCAUUUUUAAAUUGCCUUUCAUCAUUUAUUUAUUUGAUACAUUUUGUUAUAAACAAUGUUCUUAAUGCUUAACAUGCAAUUUUUACAUGUAUAUACAUUAUUGUAAAUUUAUUAUAAAUAUGUAUCAACUUACUAGGGUAGAAGCAUUUUUUGUUUACCAAAGAGAUGUUAGAUUUCGCCUCUGUGUUAUUUUGAUCAUUAUUCUCCGUUUUUAAGUUUCGUUUACAUAUAAGCUGUAGAAUAUACACUAUAUUGUGCACUGUAUUAUGACACCAUUCAUCAUGCAAGAAAUGUCAUUCUAACUGUAGGUCUGCCUUUGUUUACGGUUUUCAGAUAUGUUUAUAUACAGAUAGAACAGUUCUUUUCAUAACUUACAGAAAUCUCUACAUUUGGUUAAAUAGUGUUGGGUAGACAAGUUUUCAUUUGCUAGUGGAAUUGGACUUGAUAGUAGUGGAUUGUUCUUGUUUUAAAGUACUUAUUUCUAGUUGUAUAGGUGAUUUAUGUUUUAUGUGGGACGUUAGCAAUGGAAUAUAUAUCAAACCCAAGUUCAUUUAAUGUGGGCUGACAAAAGAAUGUUUUUGUAUUAUAUGUAUAUAAUAGACAAGGUCAUUAUGUUAAAGCAAUAGGAGCAACUAUUUGCAUGUCUUAUACUUACUUUAUAUAAAUUUUUGCUUUAAACUUUUAGUCCUUGAAAAAUAAAGGAUUGUUUACAUAUUUAUAUGUGUAUACAAAUAUACACAUAUACAUGUACAUAUGUGUAUAGGGGUGUAUAGAACUUUAUUAAAAGUCAUAGGAUAGAAACUUGCUGGAAGAUACUGUGACCCGCUGCUAGUUAAAAAAAAAGUGGACAAAUGAUUUUGUUAUAAAACAUCUGCAUAGGAUUUGAUAAGCAUAUAUUUUGUAUUGCUAUACUAUGUCUAUUUGGGAUGUAUUUGGUUGAGGGGGAUUGCCUUUGUGUUUUUGUUUUUUAAAGUGUACAAAUCAUUGCCAUUCAUAUUUUAAAUAAUGUAAACAUGUAUAAUUUUUCUUUCAAUUUAGUUUUUGAAUGUUAGAUGUUGGGACCGAGCAGGGAAGUGUUUGACUGCUGUAUGUAUAAUAGAGAAGCUUCUUACAACAUCUUAACUUCCUAGGUAUGUAGAAAUACACUCUCUCCAUGCGCAUGCGCGCGUGCACACACACACGCACACACAGAGUAAAUAUAUUGAUGUUGAACUAGGAUAAAAAUAAGUGUUACCAAUAGAAGUGUUAUUUCACCUCCCAUUCUAAGUGACUUAGUGUGAGCGGGGGUGAUUAAUCUGAUCAGAUUUUUGUUUUUAUACCAUAUGCCUAUGUAGAUGUACAGAAAUUUCAGAUACUUUAAAAUCUACUUCCCAUGAAGUUAUAGCACAUGAGCUUUUGUUUUGCUUAUCAAAUGGUUCACCAGUCCUGCCCAUUGUGAUCUUUAGACUGUGUAUUUAUCUUUAAAACGCCUGUUCAUUGCUGAUGUACUUUUAAAUAUCAGAAACUAUUAGUAUAAGUAGAGUUUUUCUGUGAAUGGUGACUUGUUUGUUUUAAAGGUUAUGGACAAGGGUAGUGGAUGUUUUCUUUCUCUUUUUUUGGUUCAUUUCUAUGGUACAUAACCUGAAUAUUGUAUUGUAUGCCCACCACCCAGUGUCAAAUCAUCUCUCCGUUAGCAUGUAUUUGGCCCCCAUAACCUUUUACUACCUCUCUGCUCCCUACCCAACAACAUGGAUGGACCUUGAGAAUAUUAUGCUAAGCAAAUAAGUCAGUCUUGAAAGUAUUUUUACCUCAUUUUUAUUUAGAUGUAAAAGUAGUUAGUAAUCAUUAAAUUGUGUCAUUUUAUAGAAAAAUACCUCGAUUUAAGGGCCAUGUGGUUAUAUCUUCUUUUCCCAGAUGAACUGAGGUUCAUGAUGGAACUCAUUUUUAAGGAACAUUUACAUAAUCUCUAAAAUUAUCCUGUAAAUAUUUUAUUGUAAAUUUGUUACCACUUUCUUUCAAUAAUAACAUGGCAAUAAAAUUUAUAAUUGAUAAAUAGGCUCUAGAGCUAUGAACAACUUAUAUAUUAAUUUGGUUAAGAGGAUAAAUGGACAAGAUAAAUCAUUUACCCCACUCUGGAAAAGCAGUUUUCAAUUCACAGCAAAAUUGAAGGGAAGGUACAAAGAUUUCCCAUAUACCCUCAUGUGCGUACACACGCACGCACGCACCCCCGGUCCUCCCAACUGUCGACCCAAUACAUGGGCAAUUGUGCCUGUUGUUAAUAUUCCCCACCAGAGUGGUACAUUUGUUGAAAUUGAUAAAGCUACAUUGAAACAAUCACCCAAAAUUCUAUAUUUGACAUUAAUGCUAAGUCUAGGUGGUGUACAUUCUGUGGUUGUGAGUUGAUGUUCGUGAUACAUACACAUCCAUAGUGAUGUACUGCCUCUUUCCAUUGCCUUCAAAUCCUCUGUCUCUGCCUAUUCAUCCUUCUGUCCGUAAUUUUUUUUAAACAUUAAGAUAUUGACUUUGUUAAGUGGAUUUUAUACUACCUCUUGGAACUAUACACAGUUCUGUAUGUUCCCUUGGUUGCAUGACAGUAUUCAAGACAACUUUGUAAAUAAUAGGCAGAUACACUUCUGAAUUCUUAACACCUAGUUUUUAAGAUGUAUAGAGUCUCUUAAAGUAUAAUUUUGUAAAUAAUUCAGUGUAAAGUUUCAUGGUUACAUUUUCUUGGAAUGUGUUAACGGAGAUAGAAUGUUGGGUUUCUUGAGCUGUACAUAUCUCACCUGUUUGUGGAGUUGCUAGGGGAAGGAAAAUCUAAAAGGUAGUGGACCUUUACAUUUGAUUUCUCAUCUUAAAGAAAAUGAUCCAUUUAAGCCAUUGUUUAGGGGUUGUGUUACACAUUACAAAACUCAGUAAUAAUUUCCUAGUUGUAUUAUGAUAGGGCAUUAUGUAUUUUAAUCAUGGAAAUACAUUUUAUAAGGAUAACCAAACCUUUUUGUAUUGGAGUGCGCACCACAUUUAAGGCAACUUUGUAAAUAACAAGCACAUACAUCAUUAUAGAAACAUCUAGUAUUUCUAGAUGCACAAGGACAUUCGCAAAAUUUUGUAAAUAUUUCCUUGCAUACUAUUGUCAGUUGGCUUCUGUAAUGCUUUGGCAGUGUAGUUAGGUGAUUAGUAAUAAUUUGCUUUGUAGGGCUGUACUACCGUGCUGGUCUUCAGUGAGUUUUGGGGAGAGGGAUAGACAGGUUGCCUCCUUGUCUUCCUAUUGUUAGGUUCACAUGGUAGAAGGUUUAGAUGGUAGACAGGUAACAGAAAACACCAGGGAUGGAUUUCUACCUUAAUGGAGUAAAAGACAAGAGGCUGGAAUUAACCAAUUUGUGACAUUUAGAUACUCAGUGAUGUAAUCAGACAUGGAAGAGGCUCACGUUGCUAAAGUAAUUGUUUUGCUGUGCUAGACAAAUCUCCUUGCAAGUAUGUGUGUACGUAGCCAUGUAUGUUAACAUGCACAUGUAAAACUAGUUUUAGCAGCAUACAUCUCAUAAUGCUUUUAUCUCAUUACCUUAUUGAUUUUGAUGCUUUUUGAAAAUUAUGGAGUAGUAGUCGUAGCUUAAACACUUAUUAGAAGUUUGCUUCAUAUUACACUUAAAUGUAUGUUAAUUUUAUGUAAAACAAGCAGCUCCAUAUCUAUCUUCAUGUAUAUGCAUCUGUAUGAAAAUUCUCUGGUUAUGAAUAUUCCUUUUAAUUCUUAGACCUUUUUAAAUUCUUCUGGUGAAUUGUUGUAUUUGAAUGUUAUGUGAUAAAUGUCAGAAGUAUUGUAUCUUACUUGCCUAUAAUGUACAUUAUGAAACUUCCUUAGAAAGGUGGUCCUAUCCAGUGUUGAUCAAAGUAUAACUCAUAUCUUUUUGAACAGCAGUUUGGCAAUGACAAUCAAAAUUUAAUGUGUAAAACUUUGAAAUGAUGUGAGUUAAAGCUGGGAUUGUAUCUAUUCCAAAUCUCAAAUUGUUUACAAAGAAGAAAGUGUUAUAAAUUGAGGGUAAUAUUGAACAAUUGAAACACAUCAAUAAGAGGGUGUAAUGAUUAUAUAGCUUAAUUGAAUAUAAUUUAAGCACACCGAUAAAAAUUAAUGUGGAAGUGUGCUUUUAAUUGGUAUUUAAAAGUGUCGUUUUUGAACAAAGAUCAACAAGUGUCUGUUUACAAAGGUGUCAACCUACCUGAAAUGCUCAUGGGGAUUGGGAUUGUCCUGUCAUGACUAAAGAAUUAAGCAGUGAUUCUUAAAUCAGUGUUACUAUAAUGGUGGUGGUUUGGAGUUCUUUUUGAAAUAUUUGUACAAGUGCUAGUUAUAACAGUAAGGCAUUGUUUAUCUCCAUAUAUUUGUAUAUUGCUACAUGACAAUCUAAAAUGACUGUGAAUUAUGGAAGAGAAAGUUGCCCAGAAGACUACGGCAAACGUAUAAUGUACAGAGAGAUGGGGAUAGAAGAACUGCUUUUACUUUGUGAAUUCAAAAAUUUAAAGGUAUUUCAAAAGGAACAUUUUAGAAGAACAAGGAAUUUUAAAGUUUGUGCCUGUCGUUCAAUCUUGCCUGUCAACGCCUUGGGCACAUUGGGCGGGCAGGUGCAUAUGGCCUUGGAAUUGAGCUGGCCGUGAUGAAUGAUUUUUGAGAUAUUGAGAAGAGCAAGUGACAGAGAGACUAAGACAGCACAGAGCUGUACUGUGUGGUGAGAAUCGAUAAUCGGAGGACAUACAGGAGGAGAAGAGAAGGGAGAAGACGGAUCAGAGGGAAACAUGAUGAAAGCAAAAUGUAUUUGCAGAUACUGUGAGGACAGCCAGCAGCAGGGACAUUCCUCUUUCUGUGGAGUUCUAGUCCACGAGGCUCAACUGAUCCACAGGAGAGAACAGUUCUCCCAAGACAUGGUACCACCAACUUGAAGUAUUCCUCACUCAAGUGUGCUUCCCUUCCAUCUCUGGUCUAGGAGUGCCUCUUGGCGACAUGAUUGUGAUGACUGAACAGGAACUCAUGCCAUUGCUUCUGCCACCAUCCUAAAAACCGAAAGUCUUCAUCAAGGGCUGGAGACUCCUCUUUUGUGUUUUGCAAUGGACACUGCAGAUCUGCAACAGGGCUGAGAAAGCUCAUUCUUGAAGGUGACCUGAAGGGCGACCUGGAGACAAUUGUAAGCAGGCAUGUUGACUGUUUUCAUUGUUGCUGUUGGACUGAACCCAGGAGAUGGAAUGCUGGAGACUAUAAUACCAAGAAGCCUAGGACAUGCCAAUGCGAGGCCUUUCUCCAGGGCUCCCGUGAUUAGUACUAAGUGCUUAUAGUUCUCAUUUUACUUAUUUUAUAGGGUAGAUUUAAAAUGUAUUCAUUAAAAAUAAUCGUUUUUUUUUUAGAUAUUAGACAUAGAAAUUUGUUAACUAGUUAAUACUUUAUGUACCUAUGUUUUCCUUUAUUUUUACCCACUCCCCAUGUUGUACUGUCUCCUUUUAUUUUUUCAAUUACCAUUUAUGUUCAAUAUUAUUUUGUAUUAGUUUCAGGUGUACCGCAUAGUGAUUAGACAAUCCUAUACUUUACAAAGUACUUAUUCCCUCCAUAUUUCCGGUACACACCUGCCCCAUAUAUAGUCAUCACAGUUUUGACUGGACUCACUACGCUAUUAUCUACUACGAGUUUUGUGCACAUCCGUUUGGAUUGUGUUGAUAAAUCGAUAGGCAAGUAGUGUUUUAGGACGCCUAUACUGUCUAUGGAUUUUCUCUGCAAUAAACAUGGUUUUACAUAACUCAUUUCAAAUUUCACUAAUUUGUUGAAAUAAUUUAAAUUAAUUGGGAUUGCUAGGGCUUUAGGGCUAAGGAUACUCAAACUUUAUAUUUUGAUUGAAAACUAGCUUUCACCCAAACUGUAGACACUUGUCAUCAGUCUGUCUCCCAGCUUUGGUUAUGAGAGUUCAAAAUGCAAAACUGUUCUAAACUGAAAGAUGAGGUGCCCAUGUGGUAUUGCAGAGAAAAAGUAGCCUCACUUCAGUGCAGUCAUCCUAUAUGCUUAAUCCUUAAUUACCAUUUGUAUUUCACUUUUUUUUCCAGUUUCCUUGGAAUAUAGUGUCUCUGUUACUGGUUUCUAAGCUUGUUUAUGGCUAAAGAUGUUAACCGUUUCUCAUGCAUUGCAAAUGAAAUACCAUGUUUUCUGUUAUUAUUUACUGUGCUGUUUUACUUUUUGGUUGUACCGAAGUUGUGUAUUAAAUAUAAUCAUGUUCUGUUUUA